GCCCUUCAGGCCUAACACAUGCAAGUCGAGCGGAGAACAUGAAGUGUUUACACGGAUUGUUCUUAGCGGCGGACGGGUGAGUAACACGUGGGUAACCUGCCUCAAAGUGGGGGAUAGCCUUUCGAAAGGAAGAUUAAUACCGCAUAAGCCUGCAGCACCGCAUGGUGCAGCAGGAAAAGGAGCAAUCCGCUUUGAGAUGGACCCGCGGCGCAUUAGCUAGUUGGUGAGGUAACGGCUCACCAAGGCCACGAUGCGUAGCCGACCUGAGAGGGUGAUYGGCCACAUUGGAAMUGAGACACGGUCCAGACUCCUACGGGAGGCAGCAGUGGGGAAUAUUGCACAAUGGGCGAAAGCCUGAUGCAGCAACGCCGCGUGAGUGAUGAAGGCCUUCGGGUCGUAAAGCUCUUUGAUCAGGGAUGAUAAUGACAGUACCUGAAAAACAAGCCACGSCUAACUACGUGCCAGCAGCCGCGGUAAUAAGGGC
rnacentral:rRNA from 1 species